rnacentral:lncRNA from 1 species
AGUUUUGUAUAUUUAUCAUUUUUCUUAUCCUAAUAUAUCACAUUGUCACUAACAUUUUUCAGGGCGACUCUAUUUAUCAUUUUUGUAUUCCCUCAAAAUGCUCUAAACCCCCCACAUAUUAUAAACAAAAUUUUUAAAUGACUAGUCUAGAAUGAACUUGUACUGACGCACUACUGCAUGCUUGUAAAUUUGAAGGCAAAGGCUUAGUUACCGUAUCUGUAACUUGCGGCCAGCCAUUAUGAUCAGUUAGAUUUGAGAAUCUAAAGUCGAAUGGAUGAGAAACAAUAAAACGGAAACUAUUUACAGGCAUAUAUGUGUCAAAGGAUUUUUCAACAAUUAGUGGGCAACCGGAGGCAAUGGUUAGAUGCAUAAGAGCGAGUGACCGAUAAUGAAGAGAAAAAAUAAAAUUAGUGUAAGUAGAUUAAUUGUGAAUCAAUCACCCACAAAGUUUAUUCUCCUCGAAAUCAAGCACGAACUAGAAAGAGUGGGGCUCUCUAUUUUAAAGCCUCGUUCAGUCAAUAAUCAUAACACAUGAUUAAUUUUAUGACAUUUGGAAGAUUAAAGAGUUUAUAACUUGUACAAUUUACUA